rnacentral:lncRNA from 1 species
UUUUGAAUAGUUGAACACAAACUCUAUGAAGUACAUUACUAAAUUGCCCAUAUUUUCAGUCUCUAAAAAGGGAAGUAAAAUCAUUAUAUGUAAAUUUUUACAACAUAUAUGGACAAUAAAAGCAUAUUUUACCAUAUGCAUGGUUUGAAUAUAUUUCCCUAACUUUAUGUGUUAGAAACUUAAUUCCCAAAGUAACAGCAUUGAGAAGUGGAACCUUUAAGAGGUGAUUAGCUCAUGAGGGCUAUGCCCUUAUGAAUGAAUUAAUGUGAUUAUCGAAAGAGUGUGUUAGUUAUCUCAGAAGUGGCUUCCUGAUAAAAAGAUGAGUUCUGGCUCUCUCUAUCCCUCCUUUAUCUCUCUCUCUCUCUUUCAUGAAUGUGCUCUCUCGCCCUGCCACCUUCCUCAUGGGAUAAAGGCUCUGUCCAGAUGCAAACCCCUUGAUUUUGGAUUUUCCAGCCUUCAGAACUACCUUGUGACCAGCUACCAACUUGAAGAAUGGAUAAGAGUUUACUUAAGGGUGGGGGCACUAUCAGACUUGUUCUACAGGUGAAUUAUGGCAAAUAUUUCUUGUAUAUUACUCUCAUGCUGUAGGAGCUUCAGAUAUAUACCUGUCGUGGUUUGGCUCUGUGUUUCCACCCAAAUCUCAUGUCAGAUUGUAAUCCCCACACGUUGAAGGAGGGGCCUGGUGGGAGGUGAUUGAAUCACGGGAGCAGACUUGUCCCUUGCUUUUCUAGCGAUGGAGUUCUCAGGAGAUCUGGUUGUUUGAAAGUGCGUGGCACUUUCCCCUUUCCUGUCUCUCUCUCUCUCCUGUUCUGCCAUGGUAAGACGUGUUUGCUUCCCCAUAGCCUUCCACCAUGACUGUAAAUUUCCUGAGCCCUCCCAGCCAUGCUUUCUGUACAGCCUGUGGAACUGUGAGUCAAU